GGUCGCCUGUUUAUCAAAAACAUCUCUUCUCGUUAGUUUUUGAAGUAUGGCCUGCCCACUGACCUUGAAUGUUGAAGGGCCGCGGUAUUUUGACCGUGCAAAGGUAGCAUAGUCAUUAGUUCUUUAAUUGUGAUCUGGUAUGAAUGGCUUGACGAGGCAUGAGCUGUCUUAAUUUUGAAUUGUUUAUUGAAUUUGGUCUUUGAGUUAAAAUUCUUAGAUGUUUUUAUGGGACGAGAAGACCCUAUAGAGUUUUACAUUUAUUAUGGUCUCUUUCUGUUUGUGAGGGUUCACUAGGGCUGUUUAAUAUGUUUUGUUGGGGUGAUGGGAGGGAUAUUGUUUAACCCCUCCUUUAUGUUGUUAUAUUUAUUAAUAUUGCUUAUCCAUUUUUUGAUGUAGGAUUAGGCGGUCC
rnacentral:rRNA from 1 species